CCUGGUUGAUCCUGCCAGUAGCAUAUGCUUGUCUCAAAGAUUAAGCCAUGCACGUGUAAGUACACACGGCCAGUACAGUGAAACUGCAGAUGGCUCAUUAUAUUAGUUAUGGUUCCAUUAUUCGCUCCAUCUGUUACUUGGAUAACUGUGGUAAUUCUAGAGCUAGUAAAUGCCGAUGAGCGCUGACCUCCCGGGAUGUGUGCAUUUAUCAGACCAAGACUACUUUGGUGACUCUAGAUAACUUUGGGCCGAUCGCACGUCCCCGUGAUGGCGAUGAUACAUUCGGAUGUCUGCCCUAUCAACUUUCGAUGGUACUUUCUGUGUCUACCAUGGUGACCACGGGUAACGGGGAAUUAGUGUUCGAUUCCGGAGAGGGAGCCUGAGAAACGGCUACCACAUCCAAGAAAGGCAGCAGGCGUGAAAAUUACCCACUCCCGACUCGGGGAGGUAGUGACAAAAAAUAACAAUACAGGACUCUUUUGAGAGCCUGUAAUUAGAAUGAGUACACUUUAAAUCCUGUAACGCAGAUCAAUUGGAGGGAAGUCUGGUUCCAGCAGCCGCGGUUAUUCCAGCUCCAAUAGUGUAUAUUAAUGUUGCUGCAGUUAAAAAGCUUGUAGUUGGAUCUUGGGAUUGAGCUGGCGGUCCGCCACUAGUCGAGGUACCGCCUGGUGCAGCCCCUGCCUUUCGGCUCCCCUUGAUGCUCCUGACUGAGUGUCCUGGGGAUACGAAGCGUUUACUUUGAGAAAAUUAGAGUGUUCAAAGCCGGCCGGUCGCCUGAAUACUUGAGCUAGGAAUAAUGGAAUAGGACUCCGGAUCUAUUUUGAUGGUUUUCCGAAAUGGGGCCAUGAUUAAGAGGGACGGCCUGGGGCAUUCAUAAAGUGCUGGUAGAGGUGAAAUUCUUGGACUGGCACAAGAUGAACCAAAGCAAAAGCAUUUGCCAAGGAUAUUUUCAUUAAUCAAGAACAAAAGUCGACGUUCGAAGACGAUCAGAUACCGUCGUAGAACCGACCAUAAAUGAUGCUGACUAGAUAUCCAGCUGCGUUAUUCCCAUGACCCGCCGAGCAGCUUCGGGAAACCUGCCUUUGGAAACCGGGGGGAGUAUGGUUACAAAGCUGAAACUUAAAGGAAUUGAUGGAAGGGCACCACCAGGAGUGGAGCCUGCAGCUUAAUUUGACUCAACACAGAAAACCUCACCCGGCCCGGACACGGAAAGGAUUGACAGAUUGAUAGCUCUUUCUCGAUUCUGUGUGGUGGUGGUGCAUGGCCGUUCUUAGAUGGUGGAGCGAUUUGUCUGUUUAAUUCCAAUAACGAACGAGACUCCUCCAUGCUAACUAGUUACGCGACCCCCAUCGGAUGGCGUUCAACUUCUUAGAGGGAGAAGUGGAUUUCAGCCACACGAGAUCGAGCAAUAACAAGUCUGUGAUGCCUUAGAUGCCCGGGGCUGCAUGAGUUCUACACUGAACAGAUCAGCGUUUGUCUACUCUUCGCUGACAGGUGCGGGUAACCCGCUGAAUCCCGUUCGUGAUAGGGACUGGGGAUUGCAAUUAUUUCCCAUGAACAAGGAAUUCCCAGUAAGUGCAGGUAAUAAGCUCAUAUUGAUUAAGUCCCUGCCCUUUAUACACACGACACGUCGCUACCACCGAUUAGAUAGUUUAGUCAGGUUCUCAGAUCGGUCGCGCCGGGGUCAGCAAUGGACCUGGUGGAGCGCCGAGAAGACGAUCAAACUUGACUAUCUAGAGGAAGUAAAAACUGCAACAAGGUUUCCGUAGGUGAACCUGUAGAAG
rnacentral:rRNA from 1 species